GAGCCGGUAGCUCAGCGGUAGAGCAACGCCCUUUUAAGGCGUGGGUCCUGGGUUCGAAUCCCAGCCGGCUCACCA
rnacentral:tRNA from 1 species